AGUAAUGUCUGGGAAGCUGCCUGAUGGAGGGGGAUAACUACUGGAAACGGUAGCUAAUACCGCAUAACGUCGCAAGACCAAAGUGGGGGACCUUCGGGCCUCAUGCCAUAAGAUGUGCCCAGAUGGGAUUAGCUAGUAGGUGGGGUAACGGCUCACCUAGGCGACGAUCCCUAGCUGGUCUGAGAGGAUGACCAGCCACACUGGAACUGAGACACGGUCCAG
rnacentral:rRNA from 1 species